AACAAAUUUAUUGAUGCAGCAAGGACAGAGACAGAAGAAUAGGGGACCAGAAGCAGCCACACUAGCAGGUAGGAAUCAUGAACCAGUGGAACUGAAGGGAGAGCAGGAGCUACUACAUCAGAUAAGAGCUGGAGAAAGAUGAGGUGCCGGAUGUCAGGAACACAGAUGGCCAGAACAGCCAGAAGAUACAAAAUAUGCCAAGUAUGUCAGCAGUGCCAUCCCUGACCUCAAGAAACGUGAUUGAAAAAAUCCAGUUGGGAUCAUGCAUCAACCAAAUGAAGAUGUAUUGAAUCUGGUUUUUAUUUCAUAUAUGCAUAACACUGUAAUAAAGUCUGUUUAAAUCCAGUA